UGGGGAAUUUUGGACAAUGGGCGCAAGCCUGAUCCAGCCAUGCCGCGUGAGUGAAGAAGGCCUUUUGGUUGUAAAGCACUUUAAGCGAGGAGGAGGCUACCCUGACUAAUACUCAGGAGUAGUGGACGUUACUCGCAGAAUAAGCACCGGCUAACUCCGUGCCAGCAGCCGCGGUAAUACGGAGGGUGCUAGCGUUGUUCGGAAUCACUGGGCGUAAAGGGCGUGUAGGCGGUUCGUUAAGUCGUCUGUGAAAGCCCAUGGCUCAACCAUGGAAGUGCAGCCGAUACUGGCAAACUUGAGUUCUGGAGAGGGUGGCGGAAUUCCUGGUGUAGAGGUGAAAUUCGUAGAUAUCAGGAAGAACAUCAGUGGCGAAGGCGACCACCUGGACGAUGACUGACGCUGAGGCGCGAAAGCGUGGGUAGCAAACAGGAUUAGAUACCCCCGUAGUCCCUGAGCGGGCUGGCAAGGCGCAU
rnacentral:rRNA from 1 species